UUUCCCUGGAACUGGAGUUACUGUCAUGUGGGUGCUGGGAAUCGACCCUGGGUCCUCUGAAAGGGCAGUCAGUGCUCUUAAUCACUGAGCCGUCUCUCCACCCCCCACCCAAAAGACUCCUAAAUUCUUAAUCAUUUUAUCAAGAAGACUUAGAAAGUGUAGAUGUGUAUUGUCUAAUUACCUUUUUCUUUCAUCUCAGUCCGAAGGACAACCGCACUGUCCUGUCCUUGUCUGCACGUGCUUCCCUUUAAUUUGCUGGUGUCAGGGUUUGUCUCUGCCUUCUCGGCCUUUGGAUUAAUUUGAGCCUUUCCGCCUUGUUGAUGGGAAUAUAAAGCAGUGCAUCUGCAAUGGAAGGCAGGGUACAGGCCCCUCAAAAAAUUAAGCCCCAAAUUACCGUACAGCCCAAUAAUUUCACUUCUGAAUAUGUGCUCUGAAACACUGAAAGCAAGGACUCACAGAGACAGACAUCGGUAUUCAGGACAGCACUGUUUACAGUGGUCCUAAGGUGGAAGCAACCAAGGUGACCAGGGCAUCAACGAUGAAUGAACGAAUCAGUGUGGUGAUCCAUGCUGGAUAUAGUCAGCCUUCAAAGGCACAAGCUAUGACACGUCAUGACCUGCAUGAACCUCGGCACACUGUGCUAAGUGAAAUAAGCCAGUUAUGAAAGGAUACCUACUGUGAAUCAAGUUUAUAGAGACAAGUCUCAUGUAGCUGGUAAUGACCUAGAACUUGUGAUCCUCCUGCCUCUACCUCCUGAGUGCUGGGAUUCUCAGUGUGCUCCACCACACUUGGUUUAUGUAGUGCUGCGGCUGGACCCAGGGCUUUGUGAAUGCCAGGCAAACACUGCCAACUCAGCAGCAUCCCAGAUUGAUUCAGCUUUUUUAAAGAGGGAGCUGUCCUUGAACACAGUUACCGAGCAGGUGGAACCUCGUCAUUGGAACCUCCACAGAAGCCCCAGGGAAGAGUUCGGACAACAUUGGGUAGUGUUUAAAGAGGACUUGAUCCAUAUGUGCAGUAGAUUUCAGCAUCCCAGCCUGUUUAUCAGAAAAACUCCAUAGCAACUUUAGCAGAUAACUUUUAGAAAUACAGGAAAGUGACAUAACAUUUAAAAUUUUAGAGAUGUUCCAGUGUAUGCGUCUUAAUCAGAAUGAUUGUUCUCUGUUAAAUAUUUUGUUUCUCAUUUCAUUUAUUCUAAAUUGUAAAAUGAUGUAAAACAUCUUUUACUAAAUACUGAGAAAUUAGCUACUUGGAAAAUUAGAAUGAAUUCUAGUAUUCUGAUGUCCUGGGCAGUUGUGGAGUUAUUUGGAAAUAAUCUGAUCUUUUGAAUAUUGCUUGCAUGAUUUAUUCAUUACAUCUAGUUUAGGACUAACUUUUUCCCUGUUGUUGAAGCAAGCCUUUUCUAUGUGCUAUCUACUAUCCUCUGAGUCUGAGGACCCCCUCCUCCAGCCCAUGAGAGAAGGGGCUCUUUUUUUUUCUUUUUUUUUUUUAAUGUUUAAUAACUACAUGCUUAGAAGAAGCAUUUCAUUACAGCUUUAACAUAUUCAGUAACACUCUC